rnacentral:rRNA from 1 species
GUGAACGCUGGCGGUAGGCCUAACACAUGCAAGUCGAACGGCAGCACAGUAAGAGCUUGCUCUUACGGGUGGCGAGUGGCGGACGGGUGAGGAAUACAUCGGAAUCUACUUUUUCGUGGGGGAUAACGUAGGGAAACUUACGCUAAUACCGCAUACGACCUACGGGUGAAAGCAGGGGAUCUUCGGACCUUGCGCGAUUGAAUGAGCCGAUGUCGGAUUAGCUAGUUGGCGGGGUAAAGGCCCACCAAGGCGACGAUCCGUAGCUGGUCUGAGAGGAUGAUCAGCCACACUGGAACUGAGACACGGUCCAGACUCCUACGGGAGGCAGCAGUGAGGAAUAUUGGACAAUGGGCGCAAGCCUGAUCCAGCCAUACCGCGUGGGUGAAGAAGGCCUUCGGGUUGUAAAGCCCUUUUGUUGGGAAAGAAAAGCAGCAGGUUAAUACCCCGCUGUUCUGACGGUACCCAAAGAAUAAGCACCGGCUAACUUCGUG